rnacentral:lncRNA from 1 species
GUGUAAUGUCCGGGCCCAAUACAGACCGGGCCCAAUACUGUAGGGCCCAGUUGAAUAGUAUUGGGCCAGGGAUGGGUUAGCUGGCCCAAGAUGGCCAUAAUCUCCCGCCUGAGGGCUGAAAAGACAAGACCACCAGAUGGCCAACGGAGAAACCCCCACCGGCAUGCAAAACAGGAGCCCGCCACCUCCUCCCCCUCGGCAAAUGAGCGGUGAGCU